GGAGGAAGUAGUUUAUUUAAAACGUUACUUUGUGGAAGUAAAGAUAGAAAUAACAUUAUUUAGUCUCUUUUUUCU
rnacentral:tRNA from 1 species